rnacentral:lncRNA from 1 species
GCGGCGGUUGGGCGGAAGACCAGGAAGGCGGAGCGGCGGACGGGUGGAGCGGAUGGUCGGAACGGCGGCGGCAGUGACAACAGCGGGCGGCGGCGACGAUCGAUGGCGGCGGGAAAUGAUGAGCGGCGGAUGGUGGAUUGAAAUGAGGCCUCUCUUGCCACAAUUUUCUACCCCUCUCCUCCUCGUCGUCCCCACCAUAUCCCUCCCCACCCCCCCGCCCCCCCAUCCGCGCGUCGCCGCCCGCCUACCCACCCGAUCGAUCGCUCGCCGGCGCCGCCUGAUUGCGCCCAGCCCGGUCGCCUGCAUUCGUCGGGGAAGGCACGUCGCUCAUCCGCGCUCGCCCCUUCCUUAGUCUUCUUGUUAGAGAUAUUUUAAUCCUCAAUGAUUCCGCCGUGUUCGUAUCUUUUUCCUCCCCAGUUCUCUGUUCUUCUCCCCCUUCCAGAUGAUGGUUUGGGAUCGGGAUUUCAACGAUUCUCAUGCCUUUUCGUUUUAAUAUUAAUUUUCAAUCAUCUUCACACGUAAAGCUACUCCGAACAUCUCAUUCGUCGUCUACCUUCGUGAUGCUUGCAGCACUGGGGAUUCUGGUCCUCUCUGGCCUCUUGUUGCUUGCUACCUGUCCUUCUUCCGGUAGCGAGGACUCACAGCAGCUUGGGCCUUAACAAGAAUGAAACCUUCGAUUAUCUCGACGAGCUUUCAAUGGGAAACAUCAAGGUACGGAUCGGAUUAUCCCAUCUCAGCACCGACGAUGAAGGUUUCUUCGUAGUCAUCCCCGGACGCGGGGGAUGUCUCUCACCAGCAGGGCCACGUCCUGGGGCUUCGCCUCCGAGCUCGCCUUGGCGGCGGUUCUCACACGACGUAGAAUGCGACGAAAGAAACGCACCCACCCAGUACGUCGCCAGAAGAAAUGCCCACAACCCUGGACUCUUCUCCUGAGAAUGAUAACAAAAAAAAAAGAAUUCAGUUCUUAUGAAAGAGAUCCGGAAGAAUUUCUUCCUUCAGGAAAAUGCUCAGCAUGGGACUAUAACUUUAAUCUUAAUCAGUUCGAGCAUGAUUACCGCGUUAUAAUUCAACGAGAAACGUCACUCGAUGGAUAUUUUGGCACCCAUUAUGAACAAGAAGUUCAGAUAAUACCUCAUCAGUCCAGGACAUUAGUAAUCAGCGUUCGUUAUUUAGGGGGAAUGAUAUCCUGAAAGGUCUCAUAAUGUUGUUCUUUAAUCUUCUUGAUAGGAGGCAUUUCGUCUGAAGUCAGCA